UACGGGGGGAGCAAACGUUGUUCGGAAUCACUGGGCGUAAAGGGCGCGCAGGCGGUGGCUCAAGCCAGGCGUGAAAUCCCCGGGCUUAACCUGGGAAUGGCGUUUGGGACUGGGUCGCUAGAGUGUGGCAGAGGGAGGUGGAAUUCCACGUGUAGCAGUGAAAUGCGUAGAGAUGUGGAGGAACACCGAUGGCGAAGGCAGCCUCCUGGGCCAGCACUGACGCUCAUGCACGAAAGCGUGGGGAGCAAACAGG
rnacentral:rRNA from 1 species